rnacentral:rRNA from 1 species
UACGAAGGGGGCUAGCGUUGCUCGGAAUUACUGGGCGUAAAGGGCGCGUAGGCGGAUACUUAAGUCGGGGGUGAAAGCCCGGGGCUCAACCUCGGAAUUGCCUUCGAUACUGGGUAUCUUGAGUUCGGGAGAGGUGAGUGGAAUGCCGAGUGUAGAGGUGAAAUUCGUAGAUAUUCGCAAGAACACCAGUGGCGAAGGCGGCUCACUGGCCCGGUACUGACGCUGAGGUGCGAAAGCGUGGGGAGCAAACAGG